rnacentral:rRNA from 1 species
UAGAACGUCGUGAGACAGUUCGGUCCCUAUCUGCCGUGGGCGCUGGAGAAUUGAGGGGGGCUGCUCCUAGUAACGAGAGGACCGGAGUGGACGCAUCACUGGUGUUCGGGUUGUCAUGCCAAUGGCACUGCCCGGUAGCUAAAUGCGGAAGAGAUAAGUGCUGAAAGCAUCUAAGCACGAAACUUGCCCCGAGAUGAGUUCUCCCUGAGACUUUAAGUCUCCUGAAGGAACGUUGAAGACGACGACGUUGAUAGGCCGGGUGUGUAAGCGCAGCGAUGCGUUGAGCUAACCGGUACUAAUGAACCGUGAGGCUUAACCUUAC